AGUGAACGCUGGCGGUAGGCCUAACACAUGCAAGUCGAACGGCAGCACAGUAAGAGCUUGCUCUUACGGGUGGCGAGUGGCGGACGGGUGAGGAAUACAUCGGAAUCUACUUUUUCGUGGGGGAUAACGUAGGGAAACUUACGCUAAUACCGCAUACGACCUACGGGUGAAAGCAGGGGAUCUUCGGACCUUGCGCGAUUGAAUGAGCCGAUGUCGGAUUAGCUAGUUGGCGGGGUAAAGGCCCACCAAGGCGACGAUCCGUAGCUGGUCUGAGAGGAUGAUCAGCCGCACUGGAACUGAGACUCGGUCCAGACUCCUACGGGAGGCAGCAGUGGGGAAUAUUGGACAAAGGGCGCAAGCCUGAUCCAGCCAUACCGCGUGGGUGAAGAAGGCCUUCGGGUUGUAAAGCCCUUUUGUUGGGAAAGAAAAGCAGCAGGUUAAUACCCCGCUGUUCUGACGGUACCCAAAGAAUAAGCACCGGCUAACUUCGUG
rnacentral:rRNA from 1 species